AUGUAGUAAGUAGAGACAGCCCAGACGGAGCCAAAAGAGCUACUGGUGCUGGCGCCGCCCCUGCGUUAUCUCAACUGAUCCGCACAGCAGCCUGUGGUUCUCUCAGCCCCGUUCACGAUGAGGAAACCGAGACUCAGCAAAAAGGAGCCGCACUGCCCUCCCAGUUCCAGAUGAUUUUCAUCUCUCCUAAAGAUGACCUCCCUACAGAUUAACUGGUCACAGCCCACUUCUCUUCUCCCAGCCCCUGGUAAACACUAACUUGACUGGUUUUGAUAUUUCAUG